CACGUAGGGGGCAAGCGUUGUCCGGAUUUAUUGGGCGUAAAGAGCGUGUAGGCGGCUAGGUAGGUCCGUUGUGAAAACUCGAGGCUCAACCUCGAGACGUCGAUGGAAACCAUCUAGCUAGAGUCCGGAAGAGGAGAGUGGAAUUCCUGGUGUAGCGGUGAAAUGCGCAGAUAUCAGGAAGAACACCCGUGGCGAAGGCGGCUCUCUGGUACGUGACUGACGCUGAGACGCGAAAGCGUGGGGAGCAAACAGG
rnacentral:rRNA from 1 species